UGCAACAUAUUGGAUGCCAACCGCCAUUAUACCUCAUCUAAGAAGGUCACAGCAUCGAGUCACCGCACGACACAGAAAACGGACCAGACCCUAAAAUACACGCCACUAAAAUCACACAUGGAUCUAUAGGAACCAGUAUAUCGGUGAAUACAGCUAAGUUAGACGCGCCUGUCCAUUACCACAAGGUUACACAUAGCUGUAGUUUAUGCUAGGUUAUGUAUGCAGGGAGAAUUGCAGUUGCUGCUUGGAAGUGAAAUAUUUUAUGGAGGCUUGGAAGGACGCGGGGGAGCGAGGAGCCGAAGUGGGGAAACUGGAGAUUGCUACAACGUACUGGGAACUACAGCUUCUGCUGGCUACGAGUAACCCACGCGCACGGGACGGGGUGGAAACAUGGCCGCGAAUGGCAACAAUUUAACAUCUGGGAUGGGAGAAAUUAUCCAACUGAACGUUGGUGGGACACGGUUCAGCACCUCUAGACAGACUCUCAUGUGGAUCCCAGACUCUUUCUUUUCAAGUUUGCUGAGUGGGAGAAUAUCAUCUCUACUGGAUGAAACUGGAGCUUUGAGUUCUGAGUCUUUCUACUAAACAUUCCACAGAUAUAUUUAUUGACAGGGACCCAACAGCCUUUGCGCCCAUCUUGAAUUUCCUUCGAACCAAAGAGUUAGACUUAAGGGGGGUAAACAUUAACAUUCUCCGCCAUGAAGCUGAGUUUUAUGGGAUAACGCCAUUAGUGAGGACAUAAAACGUUCGUCCUGUGGCAGUGUUCUGUUCCAUGGAUACCUUCCCCCUCCAGGUACUGUAGAUAGAACGUUCGUCCUGUGGCAGUGUUCUGUUCCAUGGAUACCUUCCCCCUCCAGGU